UUAAAAUGAUAAACAGGGAUGUCUCUGGC
rnacentral:piRNA from 1 species